AUUGAACGCUGGCGGCAGGCCUAACACAUGCAAGUCGAGCGAGCGGCGGACGGGUGAGUAAUGUAUGGGGACUGCCCGAUAGAGGGGGAUAACUACUGGAAACGGUGGCUAAUACCGCAUACUAUCGGAUAACCCAUAGGGGAUUAGCUAGUAGGUGGGGUAAAGGCUCACCUAGGCGACGAUCUCUAGCUGGUAUGAGAGGAUGAUCAGCCACACUGGUACGGAGCAACGUCCCAGACUCCUACGGAGGCAGCAGUGGGGAAUAUUGCACAAUGGGCGCAAGCCUGAUGCAGCCAUGCCGCGUGUAUGGAGAAGGCCUUAGGGUUGUAAAGUACUUUCAGCGGGGAGGCGUUACCCGCAGAAGAAGCACCGGCUAACUCCGUGCCAGCAGCCGCGGUAAUUC
rnacentral:rRNA from 1 species